rnacentral:rRNA from 1 species
GACGAACGCUGGCGGCGUGCUAACACAUGCAAGUCGAACGAAGAGCGAUGGAAGCUUGCUUCUAUCAAUCUUAGUGGCGAACGGGUGAGUAACGCGUAAUCAACCUGCCCUUCAGAGGGGGACAACAGUUGGAAACGACUGCUAAUACCGCAUACGAUCUAACCUCGGCAUCGAGGAAAGAUGAAAGGUGGCCUCUAUGUAUAAGCUAUCACUGAAGGAGGGGAUUGCGUCUGAUUAGCUAGUUGGAGGGGUAACGGCCCACCAAGGCGAUGAUCAGUAGCCGGUCUGAGAGGAUGAACGGCCACAUUGGGACUGAGACACGGCCCAGACUCCUACGGGAGGCAGCAGUGGGGAAUCUUCCGCAAUGGACGAAAGUCUGACGGAGCAACGCCGCGUGAGUGAUGACGGCCUUCGGGUUGUAAAGCUCUGUUAAUCGGGACGAAAGGCCUUCUUGCGAACAGUUAGAAGGAUUGACGGUACCGGAAUAGAAAGCC